rnacentral:rRNA from 1 species
UACGGGGGGGGCAAGCGUUGUUCGGAAUUACUGGGCGUAAAGGGCUCGUAGGCGGCCAACUAAGUCAGACGUGAAAUCCCUCGGCUUAACCGGGGAACUGCGUCUGAUACUGGAUGGCUAGAGGUUGGGAGAGGGAUGCGGAAUUCCUGGCGUAGCGGUGAAAUGCGUAGAUAUCAGGAGGAACACCGGUGGCGAAGGCGGCUUUCUGGACAGUAACCGACGCUGAGGCACGAAAGCUAGGGGAGCAAACAGG